GCCGCCCGCUGGCGGCGUGCUUAACACAUGCAAGUCGAACGGAAAGGCCCUGCUUUUGUGGGGUGCUCGAGUGGCGAACGGGUGAGUAACACGUGAGUAACCUGCCCUUGACUUUGGGAUAACUUCAGGAAACUGGGGCUAAUACCGGAUAGGAGCUCCUGCUGCAUGGUGGGGGUUGGAAAGUUUCGGCGGUUGGGGAUGGACUCGCGGCUUAUCAGCUUGUUGGUGGGGUAGUGGCUUACCAAGGCUUUGACGGGUAGCCGGCCUGAGAGGGUGACCGGCCACAUUGGGACUGAGAUACGGCCCAGACUCCUACGGGAGGCAGCAGUGGGGAAUAUUGCACAAUGGGCGGAAGCCUGAUGCAGCAACGCCGCGUGCGGGAUGACGGCCUUCGGGUUGUAAACCGCUUUCGCCUGUGACGAAGCGUGAGUGACGGUAAUGGGUAAAGAAGCACCGGCUAACUACGUG
rnacentral:rRNA from 1 species